rnacentral:rRNA from 1 species
GGUUAAGCGACUAAGCGUACACGGUGGAUGCCCUGGCAGUCAGAGGCGAUGAAGGACGUGCUAAUCUGCGAUAAGCGUCGGUAAGGUGAUAUGAACCGUUAUAACCGGCGAUUUCCGAAUGGGGAAACCCAGUGUGUUUCGACACACUAUCAUUAACUGAAUCCAUAGGUUAAUGAGGCGAACCGGGGGAACUGAAACAUCUAAGUACCCCGAGGAAAAGAAAUCAACCGAGAUUCCCCCAGUAGCGGCGAGCGAACGGGGAGCAGCCCAGAGCCUGAAUCAGUAUGUGUGUUAGUGGAAGCGUCUGGAAAGGCGCGCGAUACAGGGUGACAGCCCCGUACACAAAAAUGCACAUAUUGUGAGCUCGAUGAGUAGGGCGGGACACGUGGUAUCCUGUCUGAAUAUGGGGGGACCAUCCUCCAAGGCUAAAUACUCCUGACUGACCGAUAGUGAACCAGUACCGUGAGGGAAAGGCGAAAAGAACCCCGGCGAGGGGAGUGAAAAAGAACCUGAAACCGUGUACGUACAAGCAGUGGGAGCACGCUUAGGCGUGUGACUGCGUACCUUUUGUAUAAUGGGUCAGCGACUUAUAUUCUGUAGCAAGGUUAACCGAAUAGGGGAGCCGAAGGGAAACCGAGUCUUAACUGGGCGUUAAGUUGCAGGGUAUAGACCCGAAACCCGGUGAUCUAGCCAUGGGCAGGUUGAAGGUUGGGUAACACUAACUGGAGGACCGAACCGACUAAUGUUGAAAAAUUAGCGGAUGACUUGUGGCUGGGGGUGAAAGGCCAAUCAAACCGGGAGAUAGCUGGUUCUCCCCGAAAGCUAUUUAGGUAGCGCCUCGUGAAUUCAUCUCCGGGGGUAGAGCACUGUUUCGGCAAGGGGGUCAUCCCGACUUACCAACCCGAUGCAAACUGCGAAUACCGGAGAAUGUUAUCACGGGAGACACACGGCGGGUGCUAACGUCCGUCGUGAAGAGGGAAACAACCCAGACCGCCAGCUAAGGUCCCAAAGUCAUGGUUAAGUGGGAAACGAUGUGGGAAGGCCCAGACAGCCAGGAUGUUGGCUUAGAAGCAGCCAUCAUUUAAAGAAAGCGUAAUAGCUCACUGGUCGAGUCGGCCUGCGCGGAAGAUGUAACGGGGCUAAACCAUGCACCGAAGCUGCGGCAGCGAC